rnacentral:rRNA from 1 species
GAUGAACGCUGACAGAAUGCCUAACACAUGCAAGUCUUUGGCGAAUCUGUGCUUGCACAGGCUAGCCAAGGCGGACGGGUGAGUAACGCGUAAAGAACUUGCCCUGCAGACAGGGAUAACAGACGGAAACGACUGAUAACACCUGAUACAGUUGCCGGCACGCAUGUGCCUGGCAAUGAAAAGAGAUGCUGCAGGAGAGCUUUGCGUCCUAUUAGCUUGUUGGUGAGGUGACGGCUCACCAAGGCGAUGAUAGGUAGCCGGCCUGAGAGGGUGAACGGCCAAAAGGGGACUGAGAUACGGCCCUUACUCCUACGGGAGGCAGCAGUGGGGAAUAUUGGACAAUGGGGGCAACCCUGAUCCAGCAAUUCUGUGUGCACGAAGAAGGUUUUCGGAUUGUAAAGUGCUUUCAGCAGGGAAGAAGAAAGUGACGGUACCUGCAGAAGAAGCGACGGCUAAAUACGUG